rnacentral:rRNA from 1 species
UACGGAGGGUGCAAGCGUUAUCCGGAUUCACUGGGUUUAAAGGGUGCGUAGGCGGGCAGGUAAGUCAGAGGUGAAAUCUCCGAGCUUAACUCGGAAACUGCCUUUUGAUACUAUCUGUCUUGAAUAUGGUGGAGGUAAGCGGAAUAUGUCAUGUAGCGGUGAAAAUGCUUAGAGAUGACAUAGAACACCCAUUGCGAAGGCGCUUACUACGCCUAUAUUGACGCUGAGGCACGAAAAGCCGUGGGGGAUCAAAACAGGG